GCCUCCAUCGUCUAGGGGACUAGGACGCAGCCCUUUCAAGGCUAAAACGCGAGUUCGAAUCUCGCUGGAGGUG
rnacentral:tRNA from 1 species